ACGCGCGAAACCUUACCCGGGCUUAAAUUGCACUGGACUUUCCCGGAAACGGGAUUUUCUUCGGACCAGUGUGAAGGUGCUGCAUGGUUGUCGUCAGCUCGUGCCGUGAGGUGUCGGCUUAAGUGCCAUAACGAGCGCAACCCCUUGCUGCCAGUUACUAACAGGGUAAUGCUGAGGGACUCUGGCGGGACUGCCAUCGUAAGAUGCGAGGAAGGUGGGGAUGACGUCAAAUCAGCACGGCCCUUACGUC
rnacentral:rRNA from 1 species